rnacentral:misc_RNA from 1 species
UGCCGCCAGUGUGUCUUUGCAAUCG